rnacentral:tRNA from 1 species
CGGCGGUUUGGCCGAGUGGUCUAAGGCGAUUGACUAGAAAUCAAUUCCGUUCGCGGGCGCAUGUUCGAAUCAUGCAGCCGUCGUUGCAC